rnacentral:lncRNA from 1 species
UUUCCCUGCAUAAUGAGUUGGAGCAAAUUGUUUUGGCCCAUACAUGGCAACAUUUUUCAUACGAAUUUCUAGUUACAUACAACCUAUCUUUUCAUGUCGUAAGGCCAAACCCAGUUAUACCAGGAAAUUGUCUCAGGCCAUAGCAUUAUUCUCUACAUAUAAAAACUUAAGUAAGUGUGUCCUUUUAGGUGACACAACAGAUCGAACACAACAAGCCAUGUGUAUCUUUUUCGGUACACAGUGUUGAGGACAGUGUGUAUCUAAAAGAAUACACUGGCGCUGGGAGUGUUAAUUAUUGCAUAUUUGAAACCCAAAACAUAGCUUAUGCUGUUUUAGAAGACUCAUACCUAGACUUACCUACUUUCAGUAUGUAAGUUUCUUCUAAUAAAUAUUGAGUCACUGACACAAGCUAGCUUUAUUGAGAAGCGACUGCAUCAUUUAAGCUGUGAGCCCCUGGAUGUUUAUCAAUCAUGGCCUAGCUACACAUUAAAAUUGUUUCGUUGAUCAUUACCUGCUUUGCUUUCUUCAGCAUGCACACUGAUUUUUGUACAGCAGCUUUUGUAGCCAAUAGUUACUCUUGUUUGUUUUCUAGAUUUUUCCUAAUCAGGACUUGAUUUCUUUUUGGUUAGUUACUGUCUCUCUUCUACAAUAGAGAGAGAGAGUUUGGGGCUUAUUAUUCGUUAAAGUGUUGGAAUGCUUGUGGGUUUUGAUAUACUACCACAACUCUCAAUACAAAAUUUGAUCAAACUAAACUGAUAGUGUGACCACUAGAUUUUUAUAAUUUGAACAAACUGCAGUUGUGGCGUCACUUCCUGAGUUUGCUCAAACUGUUUGAUCAAAUUAUUUGAUAGUGAAACCACGACUUUAAGGAUUUAAGUAACAUCAAUUUAAUUUGCAAUAAAAAAGAUCAUGAAGAUUUGACGAUGCUUGUAAAUACAUACACCCGAUUUAGAUAAUUUAAGUGACAGAAAUUUUUAGAUUGUCUUGUCAAAUAUACCUACAUGCAACAAAAAAUUUAAUCAAAAUUUGCAUAAAAAAAAUUGAAGUGUUUUAAAAGUUUCAAUAUGUAAAAACAUUGAACCACAGAAACGGUUUUUCUCCACAAAGAAACAAAAAUCGUAGCAACAUAUUAAUAAGUGAUACAUACGUUUAAAAAUCCAAAUGUAAAUGAAAUAUGAAAUGUCAGACAUUUUAAAAGGACACAAGACACAACAUGUCCUAUAUUUCACAAAAUGCCGAAGAAAAUCAUAAUUAUAUAAUAUAACAUAUAAUUUCCCCUAAAUUACUUUUCCCCAUAUCCAGUAUAUUUACUUUUAUGUAAAUUAUCUGUUUUUAAUUUUGAUGCAUUUAUAAUUUAAUUUAUAAGAUCUAUUCUAGUGCUGCUGUGUUUGUAUUGAACAACUGAAAUAAAUUAAAAUAAUAUUAUUACUAUACAAUAAUUGUUUAUAUUUUUUAUGAGAUAAAAGAAAUAUUUUAUGAGACUAGGUACAGUCUAGAAAGCAGACUAGUAGAAACGAAUAAAUAGUGUUUUUGUAAUCAAUACUGUUUUUCAAUAUUGAUUUUCUACAACACUUUUAUUUCUAUCACAAAAAUUGUCAAUUGUAAGAUAAACAAGAAAUAUUUAUCUGUUAUCCUCGGUCAGCAGACUUGUUUUCUUGCUGAAACGACACUUUGCAUACAAUAUUGGUAUUUAAAUAUCCCGCUCUGUCAUUCUUAAUCAUUUGACCAAUACGAACACAGAUAUCACGUGGGCAGUUCUAACCAAUAAAAUCUUGGAAUUCAUAGCGGUUAUUAACGCUUCGUCUCUACCCAUCGGCUCAUGGCCAAUAGAAGGGUAAUACGUCCAACUCCCACAGAAAACUGGCAGCACGUUGCCACUAGCGCCACUAUCGGCUUGGAUUGUAACUACAUUUUGACAAAGUCAAAUUUGCUGUAAACAUUCAAAUUUUAUUAAUUUUUGGAUAACGAGCUAAUUUUUCUAAAUUGUGUUUGUACUUUUACACAAAAAUGUCUUGCAAAAUGAGUGUGGUGUGUGCUAUGUACGGUUGUAACAAUUAUAAACAGCAAAAAGAGUACAAAUCAUUUUUUAGAAUGCCAAAAGAUAAAAAUUUAUAUGACAAACAUCUAGAAGAUGGAAUCCUGCGUUCUUAAAAAAGCUAGUUCCAGAAGUAAGCUACCAAUAAUAAACUAGAGAAUGUAUUACAAGAAAGCUAAUACUCAACAUAGCUCAAUUGCUUCAGAUAGAAACACAAAAAUGUAAAGGAAAGGGCAGAAGAGAGACACAAAAUUCAUUGAUUUAUUAAAUUUAAAAAUUGAAUUAUACAAAGGUCAAUUAAAUAAAGAAUAAAAAAAUGAUA